UACAGAGGUCUCAAGCGUUGUUCGGAUUCAUUGGGCGUAAAGGGUGCGUAGGUGGCGCUGUAAGUCGGGUGUGAAAUUUCGGAGCUUAACUCCGAAACUGCAUUCGAUACUGCCGUGCUUGAGGACUGGAGAGGAGACUGGAAUUUACGGUGUAGCAGUGAAAUGCGUAGAGAUCGUAAGGAAGACCAGUGGCGAAGGCGGGUCUCUGGACAGUUCCUGACGCUGAGGCACGAAGGUCAGGGGAGCAAACGGG
rnacentral:rRNA from 1 species